rnacentral:lncRNA from 1 species
CCCAAUAUCCCUAUUUUCAUGAUCUAAAACAAUCUAAUGAUGAGCUGCCCAAUCUCCUUUAUUUGUUGGGUGGUCUAAAGCUUUGGCCGGACUAACCUACUUCCUCGGCCGAUAAUAAUCAUUUCAUGCAAAUGCAUUAUUAAUUGAAAAAAAAAGAAUAAAAAUAUGUCAAGUGCACUAGCAUACGCUAUGUUGAUUGAUUUUUUUU